UGCUGGAUAAGUCAGUGGGAAAAAGCACUGACUCUGGAUUGGGAGGCUGGGGUUCAAAACCCAGUCUGGCCU